AUUGAACGCUGGCGGCAGGCCUAACACAUGCAAGUCGAGCGAGCGGCGGACGGGUGAGUAAUGUCUGGGAAACUGCCUGAUGGAGGGGGAUAACUACUGGAAACGGUGGCUCAUACCGCAUACCAUCAGAUGUGCCCAGAUGGGAUUGGCUCGUAGGUGGGGUAACGGCUCACCUAGGCGACGAUCCCUAGCUGGUCUGAGAGGAUGACCAGCCACACUGGAACUGAGACACGGUCCAGACUCCUACGGGAGGCAGCAGUGGGGAAUAUUGCACAAUGGGCGCAAGCCUGAUGCAGCCAUGCCGCGUGUGUGAAGAAGGCCUUCGGGUUGUAAAGUACUUUCAGCGGGGAGGCGUUACCCGCAGAAGAAGCACCGGCUAACUCCGUGCCAGCAGCCGCGGUAAUAC
rnacentral:rRNA from 1 species